AACUCCAAGCAGGCCCUAAGGAUCGGUUGUCAACGCCGUGGAGGAGGAACUGAAGUUGCCAUCUACCUAAAUUCUGGAAUCCGAGGGAUUCGCAGCCUACACUUACAUCGAAAUCUACAUAUACGAACACAACUCCCUCGUCCUCUACUUUGACUUCAAAUAGACUCGUCAGUGAAAGCAACAAAAAACAUGAGGAGCUGCAGAAGCGUCUAUUUAUAUUACUGGGCUGUGGGGUUUAAUAUUAUUGUUGUGCUAUAAAACAAGACAAAGAAUUUCAGCAAUCAGAAUUUUCACACUUUUCAUUUGUUCUUUGACAGUUUAUUUCUUCAUCUUCAAGUUUGCCCAAGUUUAUUGUUUAAUUUUUGAUUUUUUGUUCUCUUCUUUUUUCGUUCGACAGCUGUACAGAGAAUCUCCACCUUCAUCUUCUUCAGCAUCAACUACAGCAAAUUCAGCGAUUCCUUAAUAAGGUAAUUAGCCCAUAGUCUUGCGGCUUAUGAUUAUAAUUCUUGUAAUUUUUUAUGAAGUUUUUAUGGGUUGAAAUAUUGCCAAAUUUAUUUAGUCAAGAUCCCAUUUCUCCCUGUUGAUAAAUUAGGGGUUAAUGAAUUUGAGAAGCAGGUUUUAGUAUCGUUUUGAUUUUGAAUUUUUUUUUAAAAAUCAAAAUUGAACAAUUCCAAUUAUUUGUUAAGGAAAUUUGCCAACAAUCUUACGCCUUACUGUAUAAAUUAGUUUACAAUUCCUUUGAUUUGUUAUGAAGGUUUAAUGGGAUUUAAGUGUCGCAUAAUUAAUUUAUUCAGGAGCCCUUUUCCUGUUUCACAAACUAUUUUAUUUUUCAUAAGUUCGAGACUUGCAUUUUAGUGCCGUUUUAAUUUUGAAUUUUUUGGUUCAAUUGAUACUAUCUUUGAGCUGCAAUUCACAUCAAUUUGUCAAUUUUUUUUAUAUCUGAAUACAUUUUAAGGAGUAGGAUUUCUCAACUAAUUUUUGGGUACUGGGGUAUUAUGGGAAUGGGCUGGUUAGUUCAGGGCAAUGGUUAGGCCAAGGUUUUGAGAAGAGUUAUUUGAAGAAGUAUGGGAAGAAAGAGCGUUGGUCUACAUUUUUGAGUCUUUGGCGUUCUUGCAGAUUCUCUUUUUUCGCCUUCUCUAUUGAUCCUGCUUAAGUUUUAUAGCUAUAGAUUUAUACCUUUAAUUUUUAUAGACUUGAUGCAAGAAGAUGUGAUGUGAAUGAUACUGCGUGAUUGAUGAUUCAGGUUCUUGAUUUAUGAUUUAUUGUUAGAUGUGAAAGUUUUUAUAAAUUGAUUUGUGGGGAAUUUCUUCAUGUGUUCUUGGUUAUUUGGUGAAAAUAAGUGUUAAUUAUCUGUUUAUUUUUUUGCUUCUAUAGCAAGUUGGUUGAAUUGAUGGAUAUAGUGGUGUACUAUUUAUUUGUUGAGUAAAUGUUCCAAAAAAAAAGAAUCGUUUUUUCAGUUUAUUUCUUAUCAGUUCGUGUAGAAUAUUUGCAUUUCCUUUAAUGAGUCUACAUUUUCUCUUUACAGGUCAUUUGCCUGAAGUUUAACUUGUACUUCUUAUUUCUACCUAUGAUGCUCG
rnacentral:lncRNA from 1 species